rnacentral:rRNA from 1 species
AUCGCAAGACCUUGCGCUUUUGGAGCGGCCGAUGUCUGAUUAGCUAGUUGGUGAGGUAAAGGCUUACCAAGGCUUCGAUCAGUAGCUGGUCUGAGAGGACGACCAGCCACACUGGGACUGAGACACGGCCCAGGCUCCUACGGGAGGCAGCAGUGGGGAAUUUUGGACAAUGGGGGCAACCCUGAUCCAGCCAUGCCGCGUGAGUGAAGAAGGCCUUCGGGUUGUAAAGCUCUUUCAGCCGGAACGAAAAGGUUACGGUUAAUACCCGUGACUAAUGACGGUACCGGAAGAAGAAGCACCGGCUAACUACGUGCCAGCAGCCGCGGUAAUACGUAGGGUGCGAGCGUUAAUCGGAAUUACUGGGCGUAAAGCGUGCGCAGGCGGUUUUGUAAGUCAGAUGUGAAAUCCCCGGGCUUAACCUGGGAACUGCGUUU